rnacentral:lncRNA from 1 species
AAUUUCGUUCCUAAAGGAUUGAAAAGAAACGACAGUGGGAGUACAUAUUCGUUUUACCCUCUCUGCCAGACCCGCCAAUACUUCCACACCACUCCCUUCUGGCUAUUUAGAGACUAGAAUUUGGCAAUUUUAACACUCCCAGCGUGGGGGUGGCAGGAGGAAAGGAGGGGCGCAAACUAAAGAAGGGCUAAUGCAGUUGAGGUUUGAUUUUACUCCUCCCAUUUCCACCACUUGGUCACUCGCUUCACCUCCUUUGCUGCAGAGAAGAGAGCGACUUGUGGGAAUGGGCUGGCGCUCUUAAUUGUAGAGCCAUCAGUCUGCAAAACCUCUUUCAUGCUGCAGAGAGGAGCGCAGCUCUUCUGCCUCAGCCCGCUAAAGCUGCAGCUGCUUGAAUACGCCACGGGGAGGAGAAUGGCUGGGAAGUCCACCCUAGCAGAGGAAACUAAAGGGAGCAUCUUACAGCAAGCUUCCUCCUUCGCCAAAGGCUGGGGAAGCUCAGCUUUAGACACCGAUUCACUUUAGGAACGGGAGAAAGCAGGACAGGCGCUGUGUGUAGGCUGAGUGUGGGAAGGUGGCGAAUUGGUGCAGACAGAUCGGAGGUUUGGGGGAAUUUUUUCCUUUGCUUUCUUGGAGGAUGUGAAUGACUUCUCUGCAGACAGAUCACGGGGGAUCCUUUUGAGAAUUUGGGGUUAUGAACCCAACCCACUUAUUUUGAAAGGAUGCGGGUGCUGAGCUAUGGCAAAGGACAGAGGAUUGACCGGCAAUACCCAAGGAAAACGCUGAAAAUCACCUGGAACCACUUUGCUGUUAUUGUACCCAAGGAGAGAAAGUGCUAUUACGAUCCUCUUUCCCCCCUAGAGGCACCAGAUUGUCCCAGAGGAAGUAUUCAAAUGGAUUUUACCACACAUGUGGCACAGACAGGUUCAAAUAAUGAACUUAUAGAAUAAUUUGCUCAACCCGACCCCAAAUUUGUUUAACAGAAAUCUAAACUAACUGGUUUCUCAGAGGUACAUGCACCAGGUCCUGGGAGAAGAGGAAUGUUAUUUCAAGCACUGACUUCAAAAGCCACACUUAGAAGAGACUCUGUGAAAGCCUGUGCCUCUCAGCUCAACUGAAUUGUGCACCUGCCCAAACUAUUUUAAUAUCUAAUCUUCAGGACAGAUACUCUUCUCACCCAAUAUGCUCUUUGAAAGAGACUGCCCUAAUCACAUAUUAGAUUAAAAAACACAUUUUUUUCCUACUUAGAAAAAAACUCUUAUUAAGAUAUUGUGUGCAUUUUCUCAAAGCUAUCCCUUUAUAUUUAGGUUCUUGAAUUUGCUGGAUCUCAGUUUUAAUUUGUUCAAUUUGUUAUUAUAGGAUCUUUCACCCUUAUUAUGGAGAAAUGGUCUUAAUAACAUUAUAUUUUCCCAUCAGAUUUCCCAAAUAGAAUCUUCCAAUGUCUUACAGUUUUGCAUUCGGUUGAGGAAGCAGCAGGCAAUGUUUUGUUCCCACAGUGCAAAGAAGCACCAUUUCUAGGAAAAGAUAGCGAUUUCUCGCAGACCAGAAAAAAAAGCUGAGCUUUACAUUUACUUGUUCCAUUAUUGGCAGGUUAUGUGUACUCUGCUAGAAUUGAAGGGCUUCCUUUUCUUUGUCUAGAGAUUGAGAUUCUACUUGUUUUUCUGAGUGAAUUCUCCCUAGGCACUGACUUCUCAAAACUAAUCUCUGAGUUAAUAUAGCCUUGUAUUAAUCCCUGAGUUAGGUCUUUCCCUUUCCUUCUGUUUCUAACUCGUAGAUUUUAGUCUGUCAAUUGUUUCCUUGCAGGUGUGAAAACAAAAAUCAUGCAUAUUUCCAAAAUAAAAAUAUUUCAAUUUUGUUUUAAAUAUCUAUU